rnacentral:rRNA from 1 species
GGAUAACUUACCCUUUAGGACUGGGAUAACUCUGGGAAACUGGGGAUAAUACUGGAUAUUAGGCUAUGCCUGGAAUGGUUUGCCUUUGAAAUGUUUUUUCGCCUAAGGAUAGGUCUGCGGCUGAUUAGGUCGUUGGUGGGGUAAUGGCCCACCAAGCCGAUGAUCGGUACGGGUUGUGAGAGCAAGGGCCCGGAGAUGGAACCUGAGACAAGGUUCCAGACCCUACGGGGUGCAGCAGGCGCGAAACCUCCGCAAUGUACGAAAGUGCGACGGGGGGAUCCCAAGUGUUAUGCUUUUUUGUAUGACUUUUCAUUAGUGUAAAAAGCUUUUAGAAUAAGAGCUGGGCAAGACCGGUGCCAGCCGCCGCGGUAACACCGGCAGCUCGAGUGGUAGCUGUUUUUAUUGGGCCUAAAGCGUUCGUAGCCGGUUUGAUAAGUCUUUGGUGAAAGCUUGUAGCUUAACUAUAAGAAUUGCUGGAGAUACUAUUAGACUUGAAGUCGGGAGAGGUUAGAGGUACUACCGGGGUAGGGGUGAAAUCCUAUAAUCCUGGGAGGACCACCUGUGGCGAAGGCGUCUAACUGGAACGAUCUUGACGGUGAGUAACGAAAGCCAGGGGCGCGAACCGGAUUAGAUACCCGGGUAGUCCUGGCCGUAAACGAUGUGGACUUGGUGUUGGAAUGGCUUUGAGUUGUUCCGGUGCCGAAGGGAAGCUGUUAAGUCCACCGCCUGGGAAGUACGGUCGCAA